rnacentral:rRNA from 1 species
CCUACGGGAGGCAGCAGUGGGGAAUAUUGGACAAUGGGCGAAAGCCUGAUCCAGCAAUGCCGCGUGAGUGAUGAAGGCCUUAGGGUUGUAAAGCUCUUUUACCAGGGAUGAUAAUGACAGUACCUGGAGAAUAAGCUCCGGCUAACUCCGUGCCAGCAGCCGCGGUAAUACGGAGGGAGCUAGCGUUGUUCGGAAUUACUGGGCGUAAAGCGUACGUAGGCGGUUAUUCAAGUCAGAGGUGAAAGCCUGGAGCUCAACUCCAGAACUGCCUUUGAAACUAGAUAGCUAGAAUCUUGGAGAGGUGAGUGGAAUUCCGAGUGUAGAGGUGAAAUUCGUAGAUAUUCGGAAGAACACCAGUGGCGAAGGCGACUCACUGGACAAGUAUUGACGCUGAGGUACGAAAGCGUGGGGAGCAAACAGGAUUAGAUACCCUGGUAGUCCACGCCGUAAACGAUGAUAACUAGCUGUUCGGGCUCUACGAGCUUGAGUGGCGCAGCUAACGCAUUAAGUUAUCCGCCUGGGGAGUACGGUCGCAAGAUUAAAACUUAAUGAAUUGACGG